rnacentral:rRNA from 1 species
ACACCUGCAAGUCGAGCGGUAAUAGGAUGCUUGCNCCCCUGACGAGUGGUAAACGGGUGAGUAAUGCGUCGGAGCGUGCCGAGUAGUGGGGGAUAACGCAACGAAAGUUGUGCUAAUACCGCAUACGUACUGAGGUAGAAAGUGGGGGACCUUCGGGCCUCACGCUAUUCGAGCGGCCGACGUCUGAUUAGCUAGUAGGUGAGGUAAAGGCUCACCUAGGCGACGAUCAGUAGCGGGUCUGAGAGGAUGAUCCGCCACACUGGGACUGAGACACGGACCANACUCCUACAGGAGGCAGCAGUGGGGAAUUUUGGACAAUGGGCGAAAGCCUGAUCCANCCAUGCCGCGUGUCUGANGAAGGCCUUCNGGUUGUAAAGGACUUUUGUCAGGGAGGAAAUCCCUAGNGCUAAUACCNCUGGGGGAUGACAGUACCUGANNAAUAAGCACCGGCUAACUACNUGCCAGCAGCCGCGGNAAUAAAAAAAAUA